GGGAGAUUAGCUUAGCCUGGUCGAGCGCUGCCCUGAUAAGGCAGAGGUCGGGAGUUCGAAGCUCCCAUCUCCCACCA
rnacentral:tRNA from 1 species